rnacentral:rRNA from 1 species
AGAGUUUGAUCAUGGCUCAGAAUCAACGCUGGCGGCGUGCCUCAGACAUGCAAGUCGAACGCGAAAGUUCCCUUCGGGGAGCGAGUAGAGUGGCGCACGGGUGAGUAACACGUAGGUAAUCUACCUUUGGAUGGGGGAUAACAACCGGAAACGGUUGCUAAUACCGCAUAAUGCAGCGGCACCUAAUGGUGACAGUUGUUAAAGCGGGGGAUCGAAAGACCUCGCGUCUAAAGAGGAGCCUGCGGCAGAUUAGCUAGUUGGUAAGGUAACGGCUUACCAAGGCGAUGAUCUGUAACCGGCCUGAGAGGGCGGUCGGUCACACUGACACUGACAUACGGGUCAGACUCCUACGGGAGGCAGCAGUCGGGAAUUUUGGGCAAUGGGCGAAAGCCUGACCCAGCAACGCCGCGUGAAGGAUGAAAUCCCUCGGGAUGUAAACUUCGCAAGAACAGGAAGAAUAAGUAAGAGUUAAUAUCUCUUAUGAUGACGGUACUGUUUGUAAGCUCCGGCUAACUCCGUGCCAGCCGCCGCGGUAAUAC